rnacentral:misc_RNA from 1 species
AAUUCUCAACCCUUAACUUCUUUUUGAAGCUCUGGGCUUGGACUGUGGAGGUUUGCCGGUGAAAAUUGGCUCCUCUGAAAUGCAUUAGCGGAACUGUUUGCGAUCUGCCACAAGUGUGAUAAUUAUCUACACUGGCUAGGGGGAUUGCUCUCAUAGAGUUCAGCUUCUAAUAGUCUUAGGACAAACUUAAUGAAA